rnacentral:rRNA from 1 species
UUUGCUAGUUACCAUCAUUAAUUGGGGACUCUAGCGAGACUGCCAGUGAUAAACUGGAGGAAGUGGGGGAUGACGUCAAAUCAGUCAUGCCCCUUAUGACCUGGGCUACAAACGUGAUACAAUGGCUGGAACAAAGGGAUGCGAAGCAGUGAUGUGGAGCGAAACCCAUAAAAACAGUCUCAGUUCGGAUUGAAGUCUGCAACUCGACUUCAUGAAGUCGGAAUCGCUAGUAAUCGCGGAUCAGAACGCCGCGGUGAAUACGUUCUCGGGGUUU